UCAGGCCCUGAUGAAGUUCCCUGCCUUUCUCUGUAGACAUGGAAGUCGCAUUAGGUAUCUUUACUGUGCCUUCCUCUACCUCCUCACUGGCCUGACAGCACCUGUAUUCCUGGAUAACAGUUUGCAGCGUUCUACAUGCAAAGGGACAAUGCUUUGGGCACACAAGGAAGAUAUCUUUGGGGUCUUAGAGUGCAUAUUACACCCAGAUGCCCACUUUUUUAUAAAACAAAAACAUUGCAAUUUAUUGGAGCUAAGAAAUAAGAUGCCACCUUGCGCUCCAAAGUUACCAAGACAAGGAUGGAGAAGGCGCUGGAAAAUAGAGGCUGUUUAGUGCUCUGGAGAACAGAAAGCACCAUGAAGACAAAGAGAACUGAAAGUGGUACGUAGGAGAGGCACCUCCUCCAGGCCGAGGAGCCAGA